UACAGAGGGUGCGAGCGUUAAUCGGAAUUACUGGGCGUAAAGCGCGCGUAGGCGGCUUCGCAAGUCGGGUGUGAAAUCCCCAAGCUCAACUUGGGAACUGCAUUCGAGACUGCGUUGCUAGAGUAUGGGAGAGGGAAGUGGAAUUUCAGGUGUAGCGGUGAAAUGCGUAGAUAUCUGAAGGAACAUCAGUGGCGAAAGCGACUUCCUGGACCAAUACUGACGCUCAUGUGCGAAAGCGUGGGGAGCAAACCGG
rnacentral:rRNA from 1 species